CGUGGUCAGUGAUGCCUUUUUACCUACAUUGUCUGAAUACAGUGAGAGAUAAAACCAACUGAGACCACA
rnacentral:snoRNA from 1 species